rnacentral:rRNA from 1 species
GAUGAACGCUGGCGGCGUGCCUAAUACAUGCAAGUCGAGCGAACGGACGAGAAGCUUGCUUCUCUGAUGUUAGCGGCGGACGGGUGAGUAACACGUGGAUAACCUACCUAUAAGACUGGGAUAACUUCGGGAAACCGGAGCUAAUACCGGAUAAUAUUUUGAACCGCAUGGUUCAAAAGUGAAAGACGGUCUUGCUGUCACUUAUAGAUGGAUCCGCGCUGCAUUAGCUAGUUGGUAAGGUAACGGCUUACCAAGGCAACGAUGCAUAGCCGACCUGAGAGGGUGGUCGGGCCCACGCGGGAUCAGACCCGGUCCACACUCCCCCGGGGGGCGCCAGUGUGGAAACUUCCGCACAGGGGGAGAGCCUCACGGGGAACCGCCGCGUGAGUGAUGUAGGUCUUUGGGUCGUAAAACUCUGUUUUUUGGGGAAAACAUAUUUGUAAAUAUAUCUGCGCACUUUUCGGGUCCCUAUACAGAAAGCCCCCCCUAUCUCCGC